UUUUUUUUUUUUUUUUUUUUUUUUUUUUGUCUUUUCUAGGGCCGCACCUGUGGCAUAUGGAGCUUCCCAGGGGAGGGGUCUAAUCAGAGCUACAGCUGCCGGCCUAUGCCACAGCCAUAGCAAUGCCAGAUCUGAGCCACAUCUUCGACCUACACCACAGCUCACGGCAACGCCGGAUCCUUAACCCCUUGAGCAAGGCCAGGGAUCAAACCUGAAACCUCAUGGUUCCUAGCCGGAUUGGUUAACCACUGAGCCAGUACAGGAACUUCUCACUAUACUCUUAAAGUAUGUGCCGCAUCUUGAAAGAUGGGAUGGUGGGGAGGAAGGGAAACAUUUUGAUCACUGUUUAGUAGAAACUCAAACCUGGCCCAAUAUCUUCUCCUUAAAAUAGGCCAGAUGUGAACUUUCAUUUGCAGUCAUUACAUCCCAAUUGAUUUCCACAACAUAAUCAAAAGUGGACAUGACAGCAUUAGUCUCAAAAGACCACGAGUCAACUGUCCUCCUAUCAGCCCUCAUACUCACAGGUUCAGAUCAGUACAGAAUUUCCCUUAAGAACUCUUUUUACACGUUCCCCAAACAAAAACUUUAGUAAAAGACUAAUUCAAUUAGAAUCCUUUAAAAACUGAUGAAGCUUAAGGAUAGGAGAAUACUUUUCACUUCAUUUAUUUUUAUAUAUCAUAUUUCUCUUUCUGUUUUAUACACACACACACACACACACACACACACACACAUAUAUAUACUUUGUAUUUGAAUUGUAUACAUUUUUUAAAAAAUAUUUUUUGGAGUUCCUGUUGUGGCUCAGCAGGUGAAGUACCCAAUGUCGUCUCUGUGAGGAAGCAAGUUUGAUCCCUGGCCUCACUCAGGGAUUAAGGAUCCGGCAUUGCCACAAACUGCAGCAUAGUUGUCUGUGGCUGUGGUGUAGGCUACAGCCGCAGCUCUGAUUCGACCCCUGGCCUGGGAACUUCCAUAUGCUGCAAGUAUGGCCUUAAAAAUAAAUAAAUAAAAUAAAAUAAAAUAAAAAACUGUGACUACUAGAAAACUUUAAAUCACAUGGAUGACUCACAUCAUAUCUUCAUUAGACUGUGCUGCUCCAGAUUAUAAAUGGUUUAUCCUCUCAGCUCCCAGUCAGCAGAACCGACCUGUCCCAUGUCCCCUUCUCUGGGUGGCCAUUCUCUAAUGCUAAAGCCCAACCACACCAGGUGUUCCUGAGUAGACAGUGUGCCCCUGACAGUGACAUCUAGACUGAGCCUCUGAAGCCUCAGGGUGGUUGUAAGGAGUGUGUCCCCCCUUCUGCAGGAGGCAGGAAGGCAGGGAAGGGAAGGGACCCCGCCACCCCUCAAAUGGCACUAAUUCUACCUGCAUGGGAGCACUGACUUUCCAAUGGUCAUCUGGCUGGGGGGAUUUUCAUCUCCUGAAGUAUCAUGAUAGCUUGGGGAGGAGGGGGGAAGAGGAAGAGAACAAAGUCUUAAAUGUUCUUCAGCAUGACCCCUGGGUCAUCCCUCUCCUCUCUCUUUCAGGUUAGAAACAGAAAUUCAUAAAACCCAGGGACAAUACUGGCUUCCCCAUGGGACUCCUCAUUUUUGCCAGGAGCUGGGCUGAGUGCUUUGUGGGUAUCAUUUCAUCCCAUUUGCCCAACCACCCCAUGAAAUUUCUAGAAGAGGAAACUCAAGCUUAGGAGGGUUAAGUAAUGUGCCCGAGGUGACCACAGGAUUAGUCAAGGGGCCAAGUCACAGGAUUCAGGUCUGAUCGGCUCUGGACCCAUGUUCCUCCCCACCAAUUCACUUCUCCAGGCCUUGGUUUCCUCAUCUGUGGAAUGGGGACAGUAUCUGCCUGAAGGCGGGGUGGAAGGCUCCAUGGUCCCCAGGGACCCAUCCUCUCCUGGAAAGAGGUUCUGGGCUCUUGCAGAGCUGCCCAGUUCCCUCUCCAUCUCUAGCCACUCUCUGGAUGGGCUGCACCCCACAUCCUAGGCUGGCACACCUGUCCCUGACUGCUUGACCUUGGGGCUCUCUUGACCUUGAGGUUCCUCCUGCCUGGGUGCCCUCUAGUUCCUGUCUUGUGAGUUAAGUGCCUCUAGCUCCUUAUAUCAGGACUCCACCUCAACUUCACCUCCUCCAAAGCCCCAUCAAAACUGUCAAGCCAGAAAACUGCUUCCCAGUCCACCUCCCAGGAGGUGAUGCUCUUCUCCACCCCUCCCCCAGGGCCCUGCACUCCCUUCCCAGCAAACUCACUCCCACCUGAAGCCUUGACACAGACAGGCUUAGCCAGCGCCUCACCUCCCACAGGAAGGAUUAUGUACAUUCAACACACUCAGCUAAAUAUUUCCUGAGCAUCCACGGCACACUUGGCUUCUUCUAUACUCUAUGGGUGUUCUACGGUUUGGGGCACAGCAGUGACGGUGACAAAGUCCCUGCCUGGGCUUCUGAAGGAGUCAAGAUUUCCCCCAAAACAGUGAUGCCCUAAACACACUAUGUGAACAUACUAGUUUAUGGAAUUCCCGUUGUGGCUCAGUGGUUAACGAACCCGACUAGCAUUCAUAAGGAUGUGAGUUCAGUCCCUGGCCUCGCUCAGUGAGUUAAGGAUCUGGUAUUGCUGUGAGCUGUGGUGUAGGUUGCAGACAUGGCUCAGAUCCCAUGUUGCUGUGGCUGUGGUGUAGGCCAGCAGCUACAGCUCUGAAUGGACCCCUAACCUGGGAACCUCCAUGUGCCGUUGUUGUGGCCCUAAAAAAAAAAGACCAAAAAAAAAAAAAUACUGGUUCACAUUUCUCAAGAUUCUCCUGCUGUUAUUUUUGGGUCAAGGAAUGAUUCAUAAAUGAUUAAUGAUUAAUAAAUGAUUCUAAAGAACAUGAUGGCAUUGGUAAGUGUGAUAGAACACUUGGUAAGGGACAGCUUGCUAUACCAUACACCAGUGGCUCUUAACACAGUGAUGGAGGCAGGUGUAUAGUGAGAAGUACCUUUCUAAGCCCAUCUGCAAAGCGUUGGGGUGGGGUAGGGGGGUGCUAUUUUCCUAAUUCAAACUGCAGAUGGUAAAGCUUACUGAAAUGUUCUUGGCCAAUGAGGAGACUUGGAAAAUACAUUUUCUUCUACAUAGCAAUGAUUUACGCUGGGAAUGUCCCAGACUCCCAAGAAAAAGAAACUUCUCUUCAUUAAAAGAUGAUCUGGAUAUUAAAAGUUUUAGAAAACAGUAUUUAAUCUUAUUACAUUUAUUUGUGCAUAUGUGUGUGCAUGUGUGUGUGUGUGUGUGUGUGUGUGUGUUUUAGUGGAUGUAUGAAAAAAGACUGGAAGGAAAUACAGCCAAAUUAGGGUGUUGUAAGCAGUUUUUGGUUUUAAUUUCAUACCUUUCCACAGUUUCCAAAUUUUCUCUCAUGACCCUUAUUGCUCCUCUAAGCAGAAAAUAAGCAGUAAACUGAAAUGCUAAUAGUUUUUUAAUUUCCUCAUGAAUCUGUUUUUACAGGCACCAUUUCAGUGGGGUCUGGAAAUCAGCAGGGUGUGAAACACAAAUGAAAUUCCCCGUUCACACGGGGCUGAGCGUACCCCUUGGCCCUGAAGAGAAGCUUUCCCUGCAUCCACGCUGGCAGCCAGCUGUCCACAGCUGCUCUGAGGAGGCUGCAAAUGAAUGGAGCUGGUGGAAAAACACAACAUUCCUGACUCUCCAAGGAUGGCAUUAUGCUUGGAGCUCUUGCUCACCAAAGAAGUAAAUAAAUACAGAGAGAGAGGGAGAGAAAGAGAGACAGAGAAGCAAGCUAGAGGAACUUUAUUCCAGGAGGUGGGUCAGCUCCUGGACCCAUAACACAACACCUGAAAGAAGACACCUGUGCCUAAGCCAACCAGCCUUGUCAAAUCAGGGCUAAAACACUGCUUGACCAUGGCCUACUGGGCUAUACCUCUUGCAUGCCAUCUUCCGUUCCUGCCACACCUAAGGGUACAUAUGAACCAACUUUAUAUCCACCGCUAGGCUAAAGAGAUUCUGAGAGCACAGCCCCUGGCUGAUUCACCUUCAUCAACCCCUAGCACUGAAGGGCAUAUCCGUUCAUCCACUAUUUCCUCAGCCACUGCUGCAUGCCAAGCACUGUUCUGAUGCUAAGGAUACAAUGGGAAGCAAAACAGACAAACUCCCUGCCUUCACGGACCUUCCAUUCUAGCAGGGGAGGCAGACAAUAGACUGGAGGAGAACCAAGAUUACAGCCCAGGCAGACUGGGGUGCUGUGAAUGUAUUGCUAGGUUGUUUCAGAUGAGAUCUAAUGACAAGGUGAAGCCAGCUGUGGGAAGAUUCUGCACACAUGUGAGCUUGGUGUGUUUCAGGAACAAAAAGGGGCCAGGUGGUUCGAGUACAGGGCGUAGACAGUGAUCAGAGAGGCAGGCAGAGGCCAGAUCCUGGAAACCCCAUGGGAGGGGAGCACAGGAGCAGCCCACUUGCCUUAUAAAACCUGCUGUGAGCCCCUGACAUGGUUCUGAGGGGUGGAUUAAUUCACUCCAAGGAGUUAAACAGAGAGACAAGCUCAGGGCUUUGCCUGCUUCCUCUGCCCCAAACCCUCAUUCCUCCCUCCACUGAUCCAGCGAGAAAAGAUGCCCCAUCGAAGAAAGGAAGUUGUCAUCAGUGAACUGGUUGGUACUCUUUCUCUGAAGACAAAGGUGGGAUUGGGAAUUGGCGUGGAGAGUGGGAGGUGAGGGGGACCACCAGGGACUAGUCUGGGGAAGGGGAAGGGAGAGAGGGGAAGGGCUCUAACCUCCCCAGCCAGGACCUCACAGAAAUGCCAGAGUCCCUGGUCAGAGGGAGCCACACCUAAUUUGCCCCUUUCAGGAUCUCCUCCUGCAGAAAAAAAAAAAAAAAAAA
rnacentral:lncRNA from 1 species